rnacentral:lncRNA from 1 species
UCUAGUUUUACAAUUCCACAGAUGGAGAGAGAUUUUGCCCAGGAUGGACCAUGCCCAAAGUCUCCUCCACACCUGAUUUAGAUUAUAUGGGCAACGAGAUUUAGAACUUUUGAGCUGAUGACACUUAGGAUGGUAGAGAGCAGUCUACAGCCUGAGACCCAUCACUAGAGUUCCAAGAGCUUCCAGGAUGCUCAACACAUCCACGUGCCAGGAGGGCGGUGUACCCCAACUCCAUGGAGACAGAAGCUCCUGUGCUCAGGACCCUUCCCACCUCACCCUAGGCACCUCUCCAUCUGGCUGUACAUCUGAAUCCUUUCUACAAAACCAGGAGACGUAAGUAAUGUUUCCCCUGACUUCUGUGAGCUGUUACAGCAAACUCUCAAACCUGAAGAGGAGGCUGUGGGAACCGCCAAUUUGUAGUCAAGUUGGUCAGAAGUAGCAGAGGCCUGUGUCUUAUGCUUGGCUCUGAAGUAUGGGCAGUCUGUGGGGCCUGUGAGGUGUGCACUAACUCCAGGUAGGUAGUGUCAGAAUUGAACUGAAUGUCAGGACACCCAACUGGUGUACAGAGAGUUGAAGAAAUGAUUAAGAGUGGGGAAAAUCCCCAUACGGUUGG